UAUCUGAGGAGUUGGUCAAAAUGACUGCAGAGUGUGAAAAGCUGAUGUCAGAGGCUGCCACGUUGCCUGGAAUCCGGGCAGAGCUAGAAGCCUUGAGGCGGAGACACACUUCUGCUCUGGAGCAAAUGGGUGAACGAGAUGAGGAGUUGGAGGAAG